UACAGAGGUCUCUAGCGUUGUUCGGAUUCAUUGGGCGUAAAGGGUGCGUAGGCGGCGCGGUAAGUCGGGGGUGAAAUUUCGAGGCUUAACUCCGAAACUGCAUUCGAUACUGGCGUGCUUGAGGACUGGAGAGGAGACUGGAAUUCAUGGUGUAGCAGUGAAAUGCGUAGAGAUCAGGAAGAACACCGGUGGCGAAGGCGCUCUGCUAGGCCGCAACUGACACUGAGGGACGAAAGCUAGGGGAGCGAAUGGG
rnacentral:rRNA from 1 species